rnacentral:rRNA from 1 species
UACGCAGGCGGAAAAUUAAGUCAGUAGUGAAAUCCCGCAGCUUAACUGUGGAACUGUUAUUGAUACUGGUUUUCUUGAAUAUAGUUGAGGUAGGCGGAAUGUGUAAUGUAGCGGUGAAAUGCUUAGAUAUUACACAGAACACCGAUUGCGAAGGCAGCUUACUAAGCUAUGAUUGACGCUGAGGUACGAAAGCGUGGGGAGCGAACAGGAUUAGAUACACUGGUAGUCC